AGUUUCAAAUAUGACAAAGCGAUUUUAGUCAAAGAGUCCAUAAUAUAAACGAACUGUAGAGGCAUUUCCCUUCAAUAAUGGGUCCUGCCUGCCAACUGCCAAGUGGAGCUUCAUUAGCGAAUAUCUUAAUCAAGCAAUUGAUAACACUGAGGAAAUUAGAGAUACGGGUGUCGACGGUUACAUUCCUCAUAUAUCUUCAGAUCUAUGAGUGAAAUCAAUUACCAGUUGAAGAGCUGAGGCUGUGAGACCUGUGUUAACAAUGGGGAAACCUUCAUGGGUUCGCACUGUUAUAACACAGUUGUCUCUCUGCUUGUGCAUUCAACUUGGGUCGGCCUUGGGAGAAGCCCAUGUCCCAGAGCAGCAGUGGCAGUAGCAGGCCUCUUGACCUUUACUUUAUCAGUGUUAGAGGAGGAUUUAGACCUCUUAAUCAGCAGACCCAUCUUCUCAAACAGAUGGAGAAGGCCGCAAAGACUUAUAAGGCAAGGUUUGUGAUAAACAUUAGUGAACUUGGGGAAGACGAUCAACUCACACAAUGGUACUUGGCGUUUUUCAACACUGAAAGUUCCCUGGUACAGUACCAGAGUUUCAAGAGGACGGGGAACAGGUUACUUCCUAAAGCAGAUCAAAAUACCUUUUGGGAAAACCUUAGACAUUAUUGGUUUGGAUACUGGGGCAUUUAAGGCGCAUAGUUGUUGGUUUCUGCUCAUUGGCUGUUUGUGAAGGAAA